UACGGGGGGAGCAAGCGUUGUUCGGAUUUACUGGGCGUAAAGGGCGCGUAGGCGGCCAGCGCAAGUCAGUUGUGAAAUCUCCGAGCUUAACUCGGAAAGGUCAACUGAUACUGCGCGGCUAGAGUGCAGAAGGGGCAACUGGAAUUCUCGGUGUAGCGGUGAAAUGCGUAGAUAUCUGGAGGAACACCGGUGGCGAAGGCGGCAUCCUGGACCGGCAUUGACGCUGAGGCGCGAAGGCCAGGGGAGCAAACGGG
rnacentral:rRNA from 1 species